GCUACUCUUCCUCCCUCCACCGCCCUAACCCACGGCUUCAGAAUCAGAGACGUCAUCGAACCGCAGUUCACCAGGAAGCCCGAAAUCGCACCAUCAUCGGAAGUCGCCAGGAAGCCCUAAAUCAAAACUCACCAUCGUCGCGCCAUCCUCGUCGUUUCAUCCUUCCCAAAAUUGUCGCUGCCUCCUCCUUCCCAGCGUCGCUGAGUCUCUCCUCUCCGUGGCGUCGCUGCUUCUCCCCUCUCUGCGGCUUCAGUGCUUCUCCGUUCUCUGCAGUGUCCUUGCAUCUUCUGCUUCGCUACUUCUCCCCUGUUCUGCUUCACUGCUUCUGCUUCACUGGGUUGUGCUUCGCUGCUUUUGCUUUGCUGUUGCUGCUUCACUGCAUCGGCCGUUUGUGGGUUGUCAUCUGUGUAGGUCUGCAUAUAAAAUCUAUGGGUAAUGACACCACUAUAACGUCGUCAUCCCUCUAGACAUCGUUGCUUCUGAAUCCCCUAUCACUGGUUUUCUGCUUCUGAAUUUCCUGUCACUGGUUCUCUGCCUCCUCAUUGUGGCUCAACCUCUCGUUAGGUAACUCAAAUGUCUCUUAUUCUGUGAGUUUAAUUGAUUUGGUUUCUAUUUUGAUUUGAAGAAUUUUACAGAUUAGAAAUGCAGAAGGAACCUAACCAUUGCAAUACUCUAACAUUCUUGAUCCAAAUUAUUUUAUUUAUCAUCUACACUCAAUAUUUGUAUAUUGAAAAGUCCUACUGUAUUGUUAAGCUUCUAUUAAUUUGUUAACAAAGUAGAACCCUACUGUUAUAGUUAAGCUUCUACAUGAAUAAGCUUCUUUCAAAGAAAUGGAACAUGGCUCAAAUAUGACUUUUGAUUUAGUCCCUUAACUUAUUAUUUAGUGUUUGUUUUGAGAAAGACAGUGUUGUGUUAGUAAGGGAUUGUUUGGAUUUCUUGGACUUUUUAAUAUUCUUAUUUUUCUUCCAAUUGCCCUCAUACUCAAUUUCACCAAACUGUAACCUUUUCAUACACUUACCUUGAAGCAGCUUGGUCUGAUCAUUGGCAAAGCCUAAUCUAAAUAAGUUUGUAUCCCUUGGAAGGCCAUCGUGGAAGGAAGCUUGUGCUACUCUUCAAAAGCUCUUUUCAGGUUCUUUCAACCAAAGCACUCUAGCUUCUCAAGCAAAGAACAUGGUCUCUACUCCCAUCCUUUUCAUUCUUUCUUUUUCUUAAUUCAAAAUUAAGGAAGAUACUAAUAUACUUGAGUUUUUUCUAACUUAGCCUUUGCUCAUUGGGUUCAAAUCAGAAUUUUUAUAGCAUGAAGUAUAUACUGUCUUUAAAUUCGGCAGACAAGAUAAAGAUCAUAUUUAAGAUUCUUUGUAGUUCUUUAUGUGGAGCAGUUACCAUUAAAUCCAAGAGAGUCCACUCAAGCUGGGUUACCACACCAACUUUGUUGAAGAAAAAUGAAGAAAUUGUCACCCUUAGGCUAUAGUAUUUUUGUAUUUUGAAAAAUGGUGUUGAUAUAAGUAAAAGUAGUUAUGACCUAAACUAGUAUUAUGUUAUUUUACAAUGAUGAUAUAUUGUGA